rnacentral:misc_RNA from 1 species
UUGCCUUCACCUAGGUUUUUGCCUCCCCGAAACCUUGGAGAUGCUCUCGGUUCUGCUUCGGUGGCGAAGCCUCGUCGGGCGACGCGAGGUCAGCUGCGGGAACUGCCGCCUCCUUUGAGGAAGACGAUCCGGCAGAAUUCGAAAGGGCAGCAGGUGGGAAGGCAACCGGGGGCCCAUGGAAACCCAUCUGGUAGGCCUUGUAAACCCAGUUUUAGCCCAUGGCUGGAUCCGGAACAAAUGGUUGGUAGGCCUUUCAACACCAUAGGGGCGAGUUUUGGCCCAUCCGGAGGUGAUUGGAAUGGACCGAAUCUGCUUGAAGGGAGUGCGGCGCGGCUCCUUCCCGGGAUCACGGUCAUUUGUUCAAGGUUGGGUACUAGGGUUAGCCACUACCCUGCUCCACGCUCCAGGUCUCUGGUUCUCGCGGUGGCAUCCUUCUCUUUCGCGGAUGUGCUGCGCGGAGGCAUGGAGAAGGGCGACGACAUUCGGGGGAUUGGUAAGGAUGAGCCCCCUAGGGGCUCCAGCCAAGGGAACGCCAUGGGGACGGGGCGAUUUGCCCCUCCGCGUGGGGGAUUCCACCCCGGUAGAGGCGGAUUUGGAGCUCGUGGAGGCUUCGGGAAUCAGUUCCAGGGCAACAGCAAGACGUGGAACCGUUUUGGUGGCGGAUGUGGCGGCUCUGGUCCUGGCCAGGGGCCGAGCGGCGAUGUGGUGCUCUUGGGGGCUGACUCCAGGAGAGGAGAAGAAGUGGUGCAGGGGCAGGCGGGUUUCAGUUUGGUGGCUGGAUCCAUGGCGGCUGAGCUACAGACGUCGGGCCUAAACAAGGGGUAUGCUAUUGAAGUAUACCUUCUGCAUCAAGUGGUUACCUCAUUGCAGGAAGCUAAGAAAGAUGGGAAGUCUGAUGUCUCGCUGGCUGAGUUGCUUAGGGCGAUGCUGGAGAAGGUCAAGGAUAAAGGUAAAUCACUGAUUAAUUCUGAGACCUCUUCUCUUGUUGAACCAACUUUGGGUGAUGGGGCCAGUCAGAUUAGUGGAGGGGCAGUGGCAGAGGUACCGGAGGGUUCGAACAAAGGGGGAAGCAGGAAGAAUGUAGCUAAGGCCUAUUGCCAUAGAUGUCGGUCUAAGGGACACUACUUGGCGGAUUGUAAGGAGGAAUUUUUGUGUGAGGUCUGUGACAGUGUGGACCAUCCUAAGAGUAGAUGCCCGGUUUUUAAUCAUCUCAAACAGAGACCCGGAUGCAUCUAUCUCAGCGGAUUCACGAUGGGGCUGGGAUUUUUCCAUAUUCAUGUGACUGUCAAGAAUCUGACAAAGAGGGAGGGUCUAGAUGCGGUGAUCAAAGUUACCGAAGGUGAGCUUACUGUGGUGGAAGUUACUGCUGAACUGAAGCGCCUAGUACCUGGGACACAAGAUUGGAAGGUGCAAAUGGUCCAGUCCAACGUGUUCCGGACAACUUUUCCUUCCACGACCGAGCUACAACGCCUGGUGGAAUGGGGAACGGUUCACUCAAAGAAGAAAGGGGUUCUUUUUCAUUUUGAGGAAAAGCAAGUGGAAAAACCGUGCAAGGUGGUGAACAGUUACUGGGUACAGGUGGCGGGCAUACCGUUGGUAUAUCGUACUUUCCCAACAAUUUGGGCAGUGGGUAUUUUGUUGGGUACAUCUAUUGAGGUGGACAUGAAACAUACCAGGCAAUUUGAGGUUGGUAGAGUCCAAGUUAUGAUUCUUGAUGCUAACCUUAUUCCCAGUACGGUGGAGGUGGUCAUUGGCGAGGAAGUAUACCUUCUGUCCUUCCGCGUUGAAGAUGGGAAUGGGGGGCUUCUACCUGAGACUGAGAAUGAUGAGAGGGGGUUCAAUGACGAUGAAGAUGACCUGUUAGGGGAUGAAGAUGGUGCUGAUCUUAAAGGGGAUGGUCCUGGGCAGCAUGGUAAGACGGGUGAUCGGGCUCCAGCUGCGGGCAUAGGGAGAAUAUUAACCCAACAAUCCAAGACUGGAACUGCUUAG